rfam:Schistosoma margrebowiei strain Zambia genome assembly, scaffold: SMRZ_scaffold0005355
AUCCAGCGGACGAGUCCCAAACAGGACGAAACGCGCGUCCUGGAU